GGAACCUGAUGAUUUGAAUGGGCUGGUAGAAGGAAGAAAAUGGCUUUGGAAAAGUAUAAGUGGAUUUAUUUUCUCAUCUCCUGAAUGGCCACCACAUCCAACAUACAGGACCUCAUCUAAUCUUCACAACAGAGAGUGAGAGAGGUAUUAUCAUCAGCCCGUUUCACAGAUGAGGAAGCUGAGGCACAGAAAGUUAAGUGACACAUCAAGAUCCACUACAGAAACUAUAGAUUAGAUAAGCCCGGGUAUGAACACUGC